CCAGCAUCUCUCCAUUGCAGUAGUGCUUGUUACAGCUGCUUGCGAUUAGAACAUUCACUUGGACCUACUACAGAUCCUCUAUCAUCACGCAAAUCAGAGAGAUCAAAGGAAACUGAAUAAUAAUCAUCAUAAGAAGAUUGUUAAAAGAUUAUGACUGAAGUUUUCAAACAAUAGAGUUAAAAUGAAGUUAAUCAUUCUGUUGUUAUUAUUAGUCAGUUCAGUUUCUUGUAAACCCUGGCUCGAUCUAUGGUUUCCCCAGCAAUCCUACGACAAUCAAAAUACCGGAUACUACGCAAACGGCCCGUAUCGUGAAAGCAGAGGUGGUAAGGAGCGCUGGAAACAAAUCUGCAGGACUAUAAAUGCGGAUUCGUAUGCGUUCCCAGGACGCGUGCCUUAUCCCGCCGCACCUGUUUGUCCAUGGUAAAGGAAAUUUCCGGUUGGAUUUCAUAUCUACCGUGCCAAACGCAAGUGAGAAUAUUUCGUGCGUUAAAAAUAUGAAUUUAUUAUAACAACGUAGUUUUAGGAUACACAUUCCAAAACGUCCUCUCCUCAGUGAAAAAUUUUACUCAAAAUAUAUAAUACACGUAACUUAUACUAUAGUAUAUAGAGUAAAAUUUUCCUGGAAGAGGACGUUUUUGGAAUGUAUAGCUUUAGACAGUAUAUACGUCCACCGGUUAUGAGUAUUUCAGUCAGUAUGCGUGUACGUAUGUGUCCAUGACAAUGCUAGCAAACAUAAUGCUAGUAUACAUAUAAAUAUUCGCGAUUACAUACAUGUAGCUACGUAUACGUUCAUCAAGUACGAAGCGAGGAGAUAAUUGUCCACCAAUUGUAUCUUUUGUACGUGAACUUUAUUACUCCUCGUUUCUCGGUCCGUAUUCGCAUUUGUUAGAUAUAAAGACAAGAAAAAGAGACUAGAAAACUUAUCGUACUAUAAAAAAUAGCUUUUAAAAUCCAAAAAGAAACAAAGCUAAAGAAUACAAUGGAAAACUAUAAAAAUGUAGUUUCUAAAUAUAACUUUCUCGGACAUUUUAAGAGCAUUCCAUCGUGCAAAGUCACUUUAUAUCCGUAUAACUUUUAUUUACCUUUUAGUGUUAAACAAAUGCGCGUAUGGACCCACUAAAUAUCUGCUAACUUAGAUACUGUUCAAAGACUUAUUAUCUAUAGAUCUAUGUAACAUCGACUUUCUAUGUCAUCACCAUUUGCCUACAAAUCAGUAAUACUCCGAGCUCUCUCUCUUUUUUUCCUUUCUUACGUAUAAAAAUAAGCUAUAUACAUUUUAUAUUACAUUGUAAUGUAAGCUUACGUUCAAAUUUUCUUAAAAAAUGCAAGCCUUCGUAGCACAAUUGUAAUCAUAGUCUUAAAUAUCAUAUAUAUUACAUGCUCUUUUUAUAUACAGUCCAGGAUCACAGAGUUCGGUACAGCACGGCGGUGUUGUGUGUACGUUAUUAGCGUGUAGUUUAAAGAAGCGAUAAAAGCCAUCUUAAUAAAAUCGUCUAAGCAAAUUGAACAAUAUAAAGUUUAAUUUAAAUACAGUCGAGAGAAUUUUACUCAUUUAUAGUUAAUCUAUAAAAUUAUAUUUCGA